CCUUCGUAGUCAAUGACCAGCCCUUCGCUGGCAAUGGAAGGAGCUGAGAUCACUGGGAGACGGGGAGACGCUCCUGCCUUUAUUUGCGUGGCCUGGUCAGUGACCAUCGGUCUGCUACGUACACAAUGUCUGUCUGUCUGUCUCUCUCUCUCUCUGACAGCAGUGGGGCAUUUAUAAUCCCUCAGAACACAUUUACAGCACGUGAGUAGGGAAACAAAUCAAGGCUGAAAUGCAGCUGCAAUGCUGCUGGCAAUGGCAUGCACCCCCGAGUGACCACUGGACGGCCAGUGUGUGCAGCAGAAGCAGGCCUGACGGGCUGCCCUCUCGGCCCGCCAGCUGGCCAGCUCCCCGUGCACCCUCGCAGGGCCUGGUCCACUCCGAGGCGCCGAUGCGUGCAGGAAAGCGCACGGUGCGCUCGGAACUCUGACACAGAGGGUCAGGCUCCUGUGACAGCACAGAGCUUCCCUGCAGGAUCCAAGAGACAGCAGAAACCUCACAGAAGGGCCGGGCUCCGAGAGCACAGUCCACCGACCACACACCUGGCGUUUCCUUAACAAGGCCCUGGAUUUGUCAACAACACGGAAAUUGUCCCUCCGAGUUAUUAUCCUGCGCGCAUUCGCUUAUUCCAUGAACAUUUACUGAAUUCCCCAUCUUUUCCCGAGACCCUCCUAUGGUGCUGGGGGAGGCGUACGUAGAUAUAAAAGAGGAAAACCUCAGAUGCUGCUUUGGGAAGUUUCCAGAAGCAGUGGGGCUGCAAGAUGCACCCCACACGCGGAGGAGAGGAGGGGAGCAGGGUCUGGAGGGCCAGAGGGGCUCCAAGGCCAGCGUUGAUGGUGGUGGGGACGAAACCACCGCCACAGGCUGGCCGGAGGGGGGCCCCCUCGCCAGCGCCUCCCCCGUCUGAACUGCCCUCAGUCGGGUCUCUCAGGACACGGCGGGUUGAGGUCGUCUCAGGAAGAGGCCGCUCACUGCACAGCGCGUGCGCCGGGGCUGACAGGAGCCAGGGCUCCGUGUCUCCCACCGCGCCCCCUGGCUCGGCCACAGCAGCUUCACACGGGGCUGCCUGGCUUCCUGCCUGGUCGUCUCCUCGCCCUCCAGAAAAGCAACCUAGAGCCAAGAAGUAGAGACCAAGUGCGGACCACGAGUAGGCUCUGCGUUUCAGCCGCCUGUGACAUCCACUCCACUCUCUCCUCCACGGUCCCUGUUCUUCCCCGUCCCAGGCCACAGCGACUGGCACUGAGCGCCCAGCACUUUCUGGGCUGGAAUCAGCGCUGGAGUUCAACCUCAUAGCACAUGGUUUUAUUGAAAGCUAAGCAUGUGGGCAACUUCAGAACUCAAUGACCUGUCUGCUGGCCACCGCCCAUCACUCGUUACUGUCGCUCGGGUCUGUGCCUUGUCCUGACAAUGACACUGUGGGAAAAGCAAGCCUGGCAACACCAGUGGAGAGCCCAAGAGCCCCACCUGGACAGCUUUAGUUCAGGUCCUGACUGGCCACCUCCCUUUCCCAGUGCAUCUGUAGGACAGGAACAGGAGGACAGCAGGCGGCCUCAACCCCCCAGGGCCAGGUGAGGACAAAACGACGCUCAUCACCCUGCACAGGGAGAAUGAGGAGGGAAGGGGAGCCUCCUCAGGGUCCUGAGACCACAGCCGGCACUGCAGGCUGCCUACGAUCGGCUGUCGCACUAAAUGCUCUCCACCCACCUGGCGAGAGCACGGGCUGGCUUCUCCCGCUCGCUCGCUCGCUCUGCCUGGGCCUCGCGUCCUUGCACAGUGGUUUGGCUUCGGCCAUACAAAGCUGAGUGCGAGAUGCUGGUGCACCUGUCCUCUAACUACAGAUGUCCUACAUGGCCAAGAAGAAGGAACCUUGCUGCUACUACACUGCAUGAAGUUGUAUUUGUUUGUUUACUCAUUCAUUCAUUUAGUUAUUUAUGGGGAGGGCAGAGAGAGUGAGUGAGCGUGCAAGCCUCCGUCUGUUGGUUCGCUCCCCAAAUGUCUGUGAUGGCUGGGGCCAAAGCCAGGGGCCAGGAACUCAAUCCAGGUCUCCCACAUGGGUGCCAGGAAUGCUGCUGCCUCCUAGAGUCUGCAUAGGAAGCCAGAGUCAAGAGCCAGGGCUAAGAACCAAGCCCAGGUACUGCCAAGUGGGAUGUAGGACUCUUCACCACUGCACAACUGCAUUUUCCAAAUAAUUUCUAUCUUUUUUUUUUCCAACAACAGUGCACAGGUAGAGGGCAUGAACUUAGCACCGGCCUUUCCCUUUUCGAAUGUGUUUGCCAAUCAGUGCUCUGCCUGGAGUUGCAGAGAAA